ensembl:snRNA U6 U6 spliceosomal RNA
UUGCUUUGGCAGCACAUAUACUCAAAUCGGAACGAUACAGAAAAGAUUAACAUGGCCCCUGGGCAAGGAUGACAUGAAAAUCUGUGAAGUAUUCCAUAUUAAA